AGGGAGUUGGAAGUUAAGACCAAGGGAAUUGGCAGUCAUCUUAACAUCAUUGAAUGGACUAAUGUAGGAGGUAAUCCGACGUUUCAUUGUGGAGAGCAACGUUGUAACGAGGAUUCAUGAACAGGAAGCGAUUCGAGGAGUUGAGGAAGAAUUAGUAAUAUGUGUUGAGCAAGGAUAAGUUCAGCGAAGAUUGAAACUAAGGACGCCCGACAGGGAUAGAGUAUUACGGCUUUCAAAGGCAUGGAAGUCCAGUGUAGGUCAGCGGAAAUUAAGAGUAUUAGAAGAUCUUUCUCAGGGUUAUUGAGAUGAAGUUCCAGAGGAGAUGCGUUGGGUGAGUACUAAGGUUUCCGGUCAGGAAUGUCAAGACGAAGUAUCAGAUGAGACGUGUUGCUUGAGGGUUAAGGUUUCUAAUCAUGUGUAGUGGGACGCAGGUGUUUUGGCAGAAUACGUUUCUUCAUAUGGAAUGACCCUCAAACAGAGUAGUGAGAUUACCUAAGGAGGAAUGCGAGUAACAUUCUUUCCCUUAAUUGGAUAGCUAUGACAGGUUGGUUUUCGUGGUGAACGGAAGGAAUUCGAGGACGAAUUCUAUUUAAGGGGAGGAGAAUGUAAUACCCUGACUCUCUAAACCCGAUAAUUAUUAUUUAAUUGGUUAAGUGAUGAUUAGAAGACAUAUUGAUAUUGGAUUAUAUUAAUCUAAGAAGGAUUAUUAAGAGAAAGUUUCAUGUGGAAUGGUUAGAAUCUAAUGGCAUAGUUAGAAUAUGACUACAUGGCAUUGUUGUAAAUAUGAACAAGUUAGAGGACAUAAUGGACCUUGAUCUCUAUUGCAUGAUCAUAAGGGCAUGUUUGGAGGGUUAGUUGUUAUAAGUCAGAAUUUUUAAGAAAGAAGAACUUAGAAGCAAGUGGGAGAAAGUAGAAGUCAUGUCCAUCUUCUCCAUUUUCGCAACCCAUGGACAGCCUCCACUAAAAGUGCCAUAACUCUCUGCUCACAGCUCCGAUUGAGGUUUGAAGUGGAGUGAUCCAUGCUGAGUUUGUGUGUGAAUGCAGCUGCGAAUUUGAUGAUGAAGAAGGUGAACCUUUGGGCAAGAGUGGAGUUCAAAGGCUGCAUUAACACCAUCUAAACCUAUAUUAAUCCAAGGUGCAGUUUAGUAGCGUUUGACAGAUAGCAGGUUCGGAUUGAUGACUUAAAGUGGUGAUGGCUCGGAGACCUCGUCAGAUCUCAUUUUCCGCUGUGCAGAUCCAUUGAAGACACGUGUUUUGUAAUUAUCAAUAUUAUUUCAUGUUGUAUUUAUAUGGAUCAUCUUGUAUCUUUGGCUUUUGUGUGUACUCAAAUACCAAUUUUUAACGUUUCAUGCAUAAUAUACUAGUCAACUAUGU